UACAGAGGGUGCAAGCGUUAAUCGGAAUUACUGGGCGUAAAGCGUGCGUAGACGGUUACAUAAGUCGGGUGUGAAAGCCCCGGGCUCAACCUGGGAAUUGCAUUCGAGACUGCGUAGCUAGGGUGCGGAAGAGGGAAGCGGAAUUUCCGGUGUAGCGGUGAAAUGCGUAGAUAUCCACAGGAACUCCGGUGGCGAAGGCGGCAUGCUGGACCACAUCUGACGCUGAGGCGCGAAAGCCAGGGGAGCAAACGGG
rnacentral:rRNA from 1 species